UUUUCGUGCUUUUGGGGAAAUCUGAUAAAAUGGGAAUGAUAUAGAGAAGAUUCACAUGACCCUGCGCAAUGAUGAAUGCCAUCAAGCCUCAAGGCAGAUUUUA